rnacentral:misc_RNA from 1 species
AGCAGCCGCGGUAAUUCCAGCUCCAAUAGCGUAUAUUAAAGUUGUUGCAGUUAAAAGCUCGUAGUUGAAUUUCGGGAUUGGCGCAUCGGUCGUGCCUCACGGGGUAUGAACUGGUGCAGUCAAUUUCUCACCUUCUGGAGAACCGCGAUGUCCUUAAUUGGAUGCCGCGGGGAACCAGGACCUUUACUUUGAAAAAAUUAGAGUGUUUAAAGCAGGCAUUUUUGCUUGAAUACAUUAGCAUGGAAUAAUAAAAUAGGACGGCAUGGUUCUAUUUUGUUGGUUUCUAGGACCACCGUAAUGAUUAAUAGGGGAUAGUUGGGGGCAUUAGUAUUCAAUUGUCAGAGGUGAAAUUCUUGGAUUUAUUGAAGACUAACUACUGCGAAAGCAUUUGCCAAGGAUGUUUUCAUUAAUCAAGAACGAAAGUUAGGGGAUCGAAGACGAUCAGAUACCGUCGUAGUCUUAACCAUAAACUAUGCCGACUAGGAAUCAGACGAUGUUAAUUUUUUAAUGACUCGUUUGG